rnacentral:rRNA from 1 species
AGAGUUUGAUCCUGGCUUAGGAUGAACGCUGGCGGCGUGCUUAACACAUGCAAGUCGAACGGAGUUUUAAACGGAAGCUUUCGGAUGGAAGUUUAGAAACUUAGUGGCGGACGGGUGAGUAACGCGUGGGUAACCUGCCUCAUACAGGGGGAUAACAGUUAGAAAUGACUGCUAACACCGCAUAAUAUAGCGAAACCGCAUGAUUUUUGCUAUCAAAUAUUUAUAGGUAUGAGAUGGGCCCGCGUCUGAUUAGCUAGUUGGUGGGGUAAAAGCCUACCAAGGCGACGAUCAGUAGCCGGCUUGAGAGAGUGACCGGCCACAUUGGGACUGAGACACGGCCCAAACUCCUACGGGAGGCAGCAGUGGGGAAUAUUGGACAAUGGGGAAACCCUGAUCCAGCGAACCGCCGCGUGAGUGAAGAAGUAUUUCGGUAUGUAAAGCUCUACUCAGCAGGGAAGAUAAUGACAGUACCUGUACUAAGAAGCCCCGGCUAACUACGUGCCAGCAGCCGC